GAUGAACGCUGGCGGCGUGCCUAAUACAUGCAAGUCGAGCGAACAGACGAGGAGCUUGCUCCUCUGACGUUAGCGGCGGACGGGUGAGUAACACGUGGAUAACCUACCUAUAAGACUGGGAUAACUUCGGGAAACCGGAGCUAAUACCGGAUAAUAUAUUGAACCGCAUGGUUCAAUAGUGAAAGACGGCUUUUCUGUCACUUAUAGAUGGAUCCGCGCCGCAUUAGCUAGUUGGUAAGGUAACGGCUUACCAAGGCGACGAUGCGUAGCCGACCUGAGAGGGGGAUAGGCCACACUGGAACUGGGACACGGUCCAGACUCCUACGGGAGGCAGCAGUAGGGAAUCUUCCGCAAUGGGCGAAAGCCUGACGGAGCAACGCCGCGUGAGUGAUGAAGGUCUUCGGAUCGUAAAACUCUGUUAUUAGGGAAGAACAAAUGUGUAAGUAACUAUGCACGUCUUGACGGUACCUAAUCAGAAAGCCACGGCUAACUACGUG
rnacentral:rRNA from 1 species